rnacentral:rRNA from 1 species
GACGAACGCUGGCGGCGUGCUUAACACAUGCAAGUCGAACGGAAAGGCCCUGCUUUUGUGGGGUGCUCGAGUGGCGAACGGGUGAGUAACACGUGAGUAACCUGCCCUUGACUUUGGGAUAACUUCAGGAAACUGGGGCUAAUACCGGAUAGGAGCUCCUGCUGCAUGGUGGGGGUUGGAAAGUUUCGGCGGUUGGGGAUGGACUCGCGGCUUAUCAGCUUGUUGGUGGGGUAGUGGCUUACCAAGGCUUUGACGGGUAGCCGGCCUGAGAGGGUGACCGGCCACAUUGGGACUGAGAUACGGCCCAGACUCCUACGGGAGGCAGCAGUGGGGAAUAUUGCACAAUGGGCGGAAGCCUGAGGCAGCAACGCCGCGUGCGGGAUGACGGCCUUCGGGUUGUAAACCGCUUUCGCCUGUGACGAAGCGUGAGUGACGGUAAUGGGGAAAGAAGCACCGGCAAACUACGU